CUUCUUUUUAUCAAUGAUAGAAACGUGUAAGGUGAUAAUUAUGAAUAUAGCAGUCUGCGAGGGAAAUAUGAAAAGGACUUUGAAAAGAGAGUUAAAUAAUGCUUAAAAUUGUCAGGGGGAAGUGGAUGGGGUCGACGAUGCGUCCUAGUUGGAUGUUGAAUGACGAGAGCUGGUUUGCCAAUCGACUCAAGGUGUGGAUUGACGCAGAUUGCGAUGGCGACCCAAGCCUAGGCUAUAGACAUGCUCACGGAGAUGUCGUCAUUGCGAUCGUGGCCAGCAGUGCAGGCCCUCGCGGUGUGCCAUGACACUUGUGCACUCAUGGCAUUGGCUUACAGGCUCCCUAUUUGGCCCAUCUUGAAACACGGACCAAGGAGUUUAACAUAUGUGCAAGUCAACAGGCUAGCAAACCCAUAAAGCAUAAGGAAGUUAACUGGCGGGACCCCCUGGGGGAGUGCACCGCUAACUGACCUUGAUCUUCUAAGAAGGGUUCGAGUGUGGGCAUAGCUGUUGGGACCCAAAAGAUGGUGAACAAUGCUUGAGUGGGGCAAAGCUAGAGGAAACUCUAGUGUGCAAAUUGUUCUUCUGACUUAGGUAUAGGGGCAAAAGACUAACCAAACUGUCUAGUAGCUGGUUCCCUUCGAAGUUUCCCUCAGGAUAGUUGGAGCCUGGGUGCGAGUUCUACCGUUAACUUUAAAUAGGUAGGAUGUUGCAGCUACCCCGUUGAGUUGUGGCAAGGAAUCGAGAGCUCCAAGUGGGCCAUUUUUGGGAAGCAGAAUUGGUGAAGUGGGAUGAAUCGGAAGUCGGGUUAUGGUGCCUAACUAUGCACUAACCUAGAACCCACAAAGGGUGUUGGUCGAUUGAGACAAUAGGACGGUGGUCAUGGAAGUCGAAAUCCACUAAGGAGUGUGUAAUAACUCACUUGCCAAAUCAACUAGCCCAAAAAAUGGAUGGCGCUCAAGCAUGCGACCUAUACUCGGCCGUCGGGGUAAGUGCCAGGCCUCGAUGAGUAGAAAGGCACGACGGUCACUGCAAAACCUAGGGUGCAAGCCCGAGCGAAGCGACCAUUAGUGCAAAUCUUGGUGGUAGUAACAAAUAUUCAAAUGAGAAAUUUGAAGGCCGAAGAAGGGAAGGUUCCAUGUGAACGACACUUGCACAUGGGUUAGUCGACCCUAAGAGAUAGGGGAAGCCCUUUUGAUAGCGCGCUGCGUAUAAACUUCAAAAGGGAAUCAUGUUAAAAUUCCUGAAUCGGGACGCAGCGAUUGACGGUACCGUUAGGGAGCUUAAAGACAUCAGCAAGGGCCUUGGGAAGAGUUGUCUUUUUUGUUUAAUAGCCUGCCCACCCUGGAAAUGGCUCAGCCAGAGGUAAGGUCCAGCGGCUGGAAGAGCACUGCACUUCGCAUGGUGUCUGGUGCAACCAUGGUGGCCCUUGAAAAUCCGGAGGAUUGAGUGCCUUUCUCGCAUGAUCGUACUCAUAACCACAUUAGGUCUACAAGGUGAACAACCUCUGGCCAAUGGAACAAUGUAGGCAAGGGAAGUCGGCAAAAUGGAUUUGUAACCUCGAGAAAAGGAUUGGCUCUGAGGGCUGGGCAUGGGGGUCCUAGUCCCAAACCCGUUGGCUGUCGGUGGACUGCUUGAGUUGCUCUUGUGGCAAAAGUGAGUCACUGCACGCUGGCCGAGGGACGAAUUGGGAAGGACCACCUCGGUGGUCUUUCCUGGGCGUCGAACAGUUAACUUAGAACUAGUACAAACAAGAGAAAUCCAACUUUUUAAUCAAAACAAAGCAUUGCGAUGGUCCUUGCAAAUGCUUAAGCAAUGUAAUUUCUGCCUAAUGCUCUGAAUGUCAAAGUGAAGAAAUUCAACAAAAUGUGGGUAAAUCGCGGGAGUAACCAUAACUCUCUUAAGGUAGCCAAAUGCCUCGUCAUCUAAUUAGUGAUGUGCAUGAAUGGAUUAACGAGAUUCCCACUGUUGAGCUUGGCAGAAUCAACGAAACCAUUAUCCAGCGAAACCACAACCAAAGGAAUGGGCUUGGUAGAAUCAACGGGGAAAGAAGACCUUGUUAAGCUUGACUCUAGUUCGACUUUGUGAAAUGACUUGAGAGGUGUAGGAUAAGUGGGAGCCGAAAGGCGAAAGUGAAAUACCACUACUUUUAACGUUAUUUUACUUAUUCCAUGAAUUGAAGGAGGGGCAUUGCCCAUUUUUUUAGACCCAAGGUCCACCUCGGCGGGCCGAUCUGGGUGGAAGACAUUAUCAGGUAGGGAGUUUGGCUGGGGUGGCAGAUCUAUUAAAAGAUAACGCACAUGUCCUAAGAUGAGCUUAACGAGAAUAGAAAUCUCAUAUGGAACAAAAGGGUAAAAGUGUGUUUGAUUCUGAUUUCUAGUGGAAAUACGAAUUGUGAAAGUGUGGCCUAUUGAUCCUUUAGACCUUCAAAAUUUAAAGCUAGAGGUGUCAGAAAAGUUACCACAAGGAUAACUAGCUUGUGGCAGCCAAGCGUUCAUAGUGAUGUUGCUUUUUGAUCCUUUGAUGUCGGCUCUUCCUAUCAUUGUGAAGUAGAACUCACCAAGUGUUGGAUUGUUCACCUACCAAUAGAGAACGUGAGUUGGGUUUAGACCGUCGUGAGAUAGGUUAGUUUUACCCUAUUAAUGACAAUGUCGCAAUAGUAAUUCAACCUAGUAUGAAAGGAAUCGUUGAUUCGCACAAUUGGUCAUUACGCUUGGUUGAAAAGCCAAUGGCGCGAAGCCACCGUGCGUUGGAUUAUGACUGAACAUCUCUAAGUUAGAAUCCAGGCUAGAAGCGGUGCAUGUGCCCGCCGCCCAUUUGUUGACCUGUAGUAGGGGCCAUCCAGCUCCUAGAGGCACGUGUUGUGGGUGCAACCCACGUGGCAAACGAGCCGUGUUGGCUGCCCUAAAGUACAAUUUCCAUCGAGCAAU
rnacentral:rRNA from 1 species